UCAUGUAAUGAUAUUAUGUACAUAACAUUAAUGAACCAGAUCCCAUUAGAACUCCACAGUUAAUCGCACUCGGUAUAGAGUAGUAUUGGUAUGGGUGACCACCUCAGAAGUCCUAGUGUUUUACAUGCC
rnacentral:rRNA from 1 species